GAUGAACGCUAGCUACAGGCUUAACACAUGCAAGUCGAGGGGAAACGAUAUUGGAAGCUUGCUUCCGAUAGGCGUCGACCGGCGCACGGGUGAGUAACGCGUAUCCAACCUGCCCAUCACUUGGGGAUAACCUUGCGAAAGUAAGACUAAUACCCAAUGAUAUCUCUAGAAGACAUCUGAAAGGGAUUAAAGAUUCAUCGGUGAUGGAUGGGGAUGCGUCUGAUUAGCUUGUUGGCGGGGUAACGGCCCACCAAGGCGACGAUCAGUAGGGGUUCUGAGAGGAAGGUCCCCCACAUUGGAACUGAGACACGGUCCAAACUCCUACGGGAGGCAGCAGUGAGGAAUAUUGGUCAAUGGGCGAGAGCCUGAACCAGCCAAGUAGCGUGCAGGAUGACGGCCCUAUGGGUUGUAAACUGCUUUUAUAAGGGAAUAAAGUGGGAGUCGUGACUCCUUUUGCAUGUACCUUAUGAAUAAGGACCGGCUAAUUCCGUGCCAGCAGCCGCCGCCG
rnacentral:rRNA from 1 species